rnacentral:lncRNA from 1 species
AUGGAGCUGAAAGUAUUAUAUUACUUACUGUAUAAUAGAAAGCAGCUUUUCCAUACAAUCAAAGGCGAUGGUGAACAUGGCAGAUUUUUAAGGCAUUAUUUCUGGAAACACAAACAAACAAACAAACAAACAAAACUAUGUCUUCAUGAAGGAUUGAAAUGUAUGGUGUGCAUGGUUUUUAUUUUUAUUUUUAUUUUUUUUAAGCUUGGCAGCCUUUGGUCCCCAUCCAGUUCUACUGCAUGGAAGAGAGCAGCUGUACAUCUGCUGAAUAUCUCCUUUUGUGCCCCAAGGAAGAAUGAAAGUCAUACAGGGAUAGAAAGACAUGUGGAUCCCAGCUCCAAAUACGAGAGCCCAGGAUGAACGGCUGUUUAACUCCUUGGCAAAAGCACCAUUACUGUCAAAGCCAAGGGAUGCAACAUGAAAAAAGCCAACAGACCACAUGCCUGUCAGCCUAUCAGAGCAACAUGGUAGGAAAACAUCUGACAGGACUGUAUCUGCACACCUCUGGGAAAACAUAGAGACUCCAUUCACAAGGCUGUGUAUAAUCCCACACCAAGGGAUUAUACACAACACAGCAACUCUGUGAGGUACCCAUUAGGCAGGCUAUUUAGAAAAUGGGAAGAUAACGUUGCAUUUAUAUAAUUUCAUAUUUGAAAAAAGGCUGAUAAAGCCCAGUAAAUGCUAUAUGCUCUGUUGAAGGUAAUGGCCAAUUGUUAGCUAGCAGUACAUAUGACUAUAAGUGAAGUAUUUUACCUCACCUUGCCUUUCUUUUAUAGUUAUAAAUGGAAAUAUAAUAAUAAUAAUUAAAAAAAUUAUAGCAUUACACCCAUUUUUCAGAAAAUCAGCAUGGCCUUGCACUUGGACAUGAAUGUAAGUAAGGUAUUGCUUUUAUGUAGUUUAUAUAAUGCAUUGUUGUUACAUAAACAAGCCAAAACUGUGUAACUUACAUUUUACACACAUUUUGGCCAAUUAUAGUCUAAUUUUGCUCCACUAGCAAAAUAUUUACAAAUGAAGCAAAAGCGGGAUGUAUACUGACAGUCUGAAACACUGCAAACACAGACUAAUAGAGUAGUACAAACACGGAAGUGUCUCAAUGCCAACAAUAAUUAAUAAUAAAUAUAAUUAAUCUGAUUUAUGGUUAAUUUCAGGGUAGUAUGGUAUAACACCAUUUAUGUAAGCAUUAAAUUGAUUUACAGAAAUAAGAACUGAGAUACGCUAAUAGAAUAUUGAACUGUAACACCAAUGAUUCUUAAUUGGAUUCUAUAACGGGUUUCAUCCUGUAGGGAAUCGGACACAUGGGCUAACUAAGCUUUUCUGAAAAUGAGAUGAAAAAGAGACCCUUCAGGUUUUAGACCAAAAAUGGCUAGUAGAGCCUGAACUGAGGUAUAGAGACACUCCAUUAAAGAGGACAUAACACACAGAUUCUGCCAAUCAUGUUAAUCUAUAGAGUCCACCUAUGGAGUGUUAUUGUAUCCUUCAAAUCUCUGAAGAGUCUUUAGUUUUAUCAGAUUUAUAAAAGACAGAUACAGCUGUACCUCUUCUCCCUGAAAACAGUCGAGCUCCUGGAGGUCUGCCGUGGGUGGAGCUAAAGAGUCACAAGCACGCAAAGCUUUUGAACAAACAAACACACUUCCACAAGUCCUUCCAAACUUCCAAAACGGCAUCCACUGUUCCCUUAUUGCUGGGUUCUUUGGGAAGCUGAACAAGGUUAUCUUUCCUUCACGACCAAAAACACACUUCUUUAGGUGAUGUUAUUGAUUUUGUGGUCAAAAACAAAAUGUAAAAUUCCUUCUCAAGCAAGUUCUGUGCAGCACUGCUGAUGACUUCCGUAACCCGAAUAAAGCACGAUGAUGGAUGUACUCUUGUUUUCACUCUGGUUUACAUGUGCGCGCGAUUUUCCGGGAGAAAUGCCCAUACAAGGAAUGCCGCACUUUAUGAUGUAAUACAGGGCCAUACUCAAAAAAAAACAUUCCGAAAAUUAUACAAAACCUGACGGAGUGUCUUUGCCACAGAAAUGCUCUGUCAAACGUCCAACUCGUUUUCUUUUUAAACUUUGGACAUGUUCAGCAUGAGAAUCCAACUCUUUAAAAGUGUCAAUAAGUCAGAAUGCAUGAAAUAGCAUUAGACCUCCCCUUUUAAUUCUGAAUAUGCAGAAGAUGCUUCUGCUAAUUAAAGUAAUUUGAAAGUAAAAAGUCACGGGAGAUUUUUGGCAGCGUUCCAUAAGGUGCUUUAUCUUGGCCAGACAGCGUGGUGCAUUUCAGCGAUAGCCGGAGUGAGAUUUUUUUGUGAUGCCAGUGUUUGAUAGUGAACGCAAUUCACUGCGUUGCAAAUUAAUCUCAAACAGCCAUAUGGCUGUAAAGGGCAGGAAUCACCCAAGCAACGAGUUAUUUAUAGUAAUUAUAAUAUGUGUUGUUACAUCUGAGGUGUGAGCUGAUAUAUUUGGUUUAAAUAACUCAAAUAACCCUUAAAAUAACUACUUUGAUAUCUAUCUGCAGGAUCAAUGCACAGAUUGUCACAAAAGAAAUAUAAGACAGAACAAACCCUAUGCGUUUUUGUAAAGGAAAUAUCAUGAACUGUCAUGCUAUGAGAGUAUUAUAAGACUCCUUUUUAGUUCUUAAUUUAAUGUUGUUGUUUUUUUUUUUUUAAUAUAUUAUUACCACAUCCUGUUGUGCUCUUGAACAUGAAACGGCAGAACUUGUAUUCUACCCCAUAAAAAAAAUUUGGUCUAUGAAAAUGAUCAGUGGGAAAUAUUGAUUUCCAAUGCCCCCUAGUGUGGUAAGAUGCUGAUGUUUAAUACAGCAAAGCUAUUUGCAAACUUUGAAAUCCAAAAAGGUGAAAACCAGCAAAGCACAUUCAUCUGUUAAUGGCUGAUAUGAUCACUUUGAACAACUCUGACUUUAGUUAAGUAUCAAUUAAUUAUUGCUUAGAAACGUACAGUACCAUUUGAUUUGAACUCUUCAUGGCAAUGCGGUUAUGUAUAUUUAUACAUAAUGUGCAAAUGCGAACUGUUUUCCUUUAAUAUAAAUUGAGAUACUAAUGUAGAAAACAAUACUCAUUUUUACACCAAUGAUGGAGUGAAACAGUAAACAGCAAAUACUCGAAGAUGGCUUCAAGGGAGAAUGAGCCGUCAUGGUCAAUAUAAGUGUCUGUUUAGGG